rnacentral:rRNA from 1 species
UACGAAGGGGGCUAGCGUUGCUCGGAAUCACUGGGCGUAAAGCGCACGUAGGCGGCUUCUUAAGUCAGGGGUGAAAUCCUGGAGCUCAACUCCAGAACUGCCUUUGAUACUGAGGAGCUUGAGUCCGGGAGAGGUGAGUGGAACUGCGAGUGUAGAGGUGAAAUUCGUAGAUAUUCGCAAGAACACCAGUGGCGAAGGCGGCUCACUGGCCCGGUACUGACGCUGAGGCACGAAAGCGAUGGGG